rfam:Thiothrix nivea DSM 5205 genomic scaffold Thiniscaffold_4, whole genome shotgun sequence.
GGGGCCAUAGCUCAGCUGGGAGAGCGCCUGCCUUGCACGCAGGAGGUCGGCGGUUCGAUCCCGCCUGGCUCCA